rnacentral:rRNA from 1 species
UCUUAGUGGCGAACGGGUGAGUAACGCGUGGGCAACCUGCCCUCUAGAUGGGGACAACAUCCCGAAAGGGGUGCUAAUACCGAAUGUGACAGCAAUCUCGCAUGAGGAUGCUGUGAAAGAUGGCCUCUAUUUAUAAGCUAUCGCUAGAGGAUGGGCCUGCGUCUGAUUAGCUAGUUGGUGGGGUAACGGCCUACCAAGGCGAUGAUCAGUAGCCGGUCUGAGAGGAUGAACGGCCACAUUGGGACUGAGACACGGCCCAGACUCCUACGGGAGGCAGCAGUGGGGAAUCUUCCGCAAUGGGCGAAAGCCUGACGGAGCAAUGCCGCGUGAGUGAUGAAGGAAUUCGUUCCGUAAAGCUCUUUUGUUUAUGACGAAUGUGCAGAUUGUAAAUAAUGAUCUGUAAUGACGGUAGUAAACGAAUAAGCCACGGCUAACUACGUGCCAGCAGCCGCGGUAAUACGUAGGUGGCGAGCGUUGUCCGGAAUUAUUGGGCGUAAAGAGCAUGUAGGCGGGUUUUUUAAGUCUGGAGUGAAAAUGCGGGGGCUCAACCCCGUUGUGCCGUUGAAACUGGCGUUCUUGAGUGGGCGAGAAGUAUGCGGAAUGCGUGGUGUAGCGGUGAAAUGCAUAGAUAUCACGCAGAACUCCGAUUGCGAAGGCAGCAUACCGGCGCCCUACUGACGCUGAAGCACGAAAGCGUGGGUAUCAAACAGGCUUAGAUACCCUGGUAGUCCACGCAGUAAACGAUGAACACUAAUUGUCCGGCGCGAAUGAGCGCUGGGUGAUACAGCGAAAGCGUUAAGUGUUCCACCUGGGGAGUACGCCGGCAACGGUGAAACUCAAAGGAAUUGACGGGGGCCCGCACAAGCGGAGGAACAUGUGGUUUAAUUCGAUGAUACGCGAGGAACCUUACCCGGGCUCAAACGACGCAGGAAUGUUUUUGAAAGGAGGCAGCCCUUCGGGGCCUGCGUCGAGGUGCUGCAUGGUUGUCGUCAGCUCGUGCCGUGAGGUGUCGGCUUAAGUGCCAUAACGAGCGCAACCCCCAUUGACAGUUGCUAACAGGUAAAGCUGAGGACUCUGUCGAGACUGCCGGCGCAAGCUGUGAGGAAGGCGGGGAUGACGUCAAAUCAGCACGGCCCUUACAUCCGGGGCGACACACGUGUUACAAUGGCAUGGACAAAGGGCAGCUACCUGGUGACAGGAUGCUAAUCUCCGAACCAUGUCUCAGUUCGGAUCGGAGUCUGCAACUCGACUCCGUGAAGCUGGAUUCGCUAGUAAUCGCGCAUCAGAAUGCCGCGGUGAAUACGUUCCCGGGUCUUGCACACACCGCCCGUCA